rnacentral:rRNA from 1 species
GUCCACGCCGUAAACGAUGAUAACUAGUUGUUGGCGAUAUACAGUCAGCGACAAAGCGAAAGCAUUAAGUUAUCCACCUGGGGAGUACGAUGGCAACAUUGAAACUCAAAGGAAUUGACGGGGGCCCGCACAAGCGGAGGAACAUGUGGUUUAAUUCGAUGAUACGCGAGGAACCUUACCUGGGCUUGAAAGUUAGUGACGGAUGCUGAAAGGUGUCUUUUCUUCGGAACACAAAACUAGGUGCUGCAUGGUUGUCGU